rnacentral:rRNA from 1 species
CUCAGGACGAACGCUGGCGGCGUGCCUAAUACAUGCAAGUCGAGCGGACAGAAGGGAGCUUGCUCCCGGAUGUUAGCGGCGGACGGGUGAGUAACACGUGGGUAACCUGCCUGUAAGACUGGGAUAACUCCGGGAAACCGGAGCUAAUACCGGAUAGUUCCUUGAACCGCAUGGUUCAAGGAUGAAAGACGGUUUCGGCUGUCACUUACAGAUGGACCCGCGGCGCAUUAGCUAGUUGGUGAGGUAACGGCUCACCAAGGCGACGAUGCGUAGCCGACCUGAGAGGGUGAUCGGCCACACUGGGACUGAGACACGGCCCAGACUCCUACGGGAGGCAGCAGUAGGGAAUCUUCCGCAAUGGACGAAAGUCUGACGGAGCAACGCCGCGUGAGUGAUGAAGGUUUUCGGAUCGUAAAGCUCUGUUGUUAGGGAAGAACAAGUGCAAGAGUAACUGCUUGCACCUUGACGGUACCUAACCAGAAAGCCACGGCUAACUACGUGCCAGCAGCCGCGGUAAUACGUAGGUGGCAAGCGUUGUCCGGAAUUAUUGGGCGUAAAGGGCUCGCAGGCGGUUUCUUAAGUCUGAUGUGAAAGCCCCCGGCUCAACCGGGGAGGGUCAUUGGAAACUGGGAAACUUGAGUGCAGAAGAGGAGAGUGGAAUUCCACGUGUAGCGGUGAAAUGCGUAGAGAUGUGGAGGAACACCAGUGGCGAAGGCGACUCUCUGGUCUGUAACUGACGCUGAGGAGCGAAAAGCGUGGGGAGCGAACAGGAUUAGAUACCCUGGUAGUCCACGCCGUAAACGAUGAGUGCUAAGUGUUAGGGGGUUUCCGCCCCUUAGUGCUGCAGCUAACGCAUUAAGCA